rnacentral:rRNA from 1 species
UGGGCUUAACAUCCCGUGACAACUCCAGAGAUGGAGCCUCCCCUUCGGGGGCACGGUGAUAGGUGCUGCAUGGCUGUCGUCAGCUCGUGUCGUAAGAUGUUGGGUUAAGUCCCGCAACGAGCGCAACCCUUAUCCUUAGUUGCUACCAUUAAGUUGGGCACUCUGAGGAGACUGUCGGCGUUAAACCGGAGGAAGGCGGGGAUGACGUCAAGUCCUCAUGGCCCUUACGUCCAGGGCUACACACGUACUACAAUGGCAAAGACAAACCGUUGCGAAGCCGCGAGGUGGAGCUAAUCGGUAAAACAUUGUUGCAGUCCGGAUUGAAGUCUGCAACUCGACUUCAUGAAGC